AAAAUUUUAAAAGUCGAACAGACUCAAUUCUUCAGCCCCUACACCGAAAAUAAAUUUUAAUCCAACAUCGAGGUCGCAAACUAAUUUAUCAAUAAGAACUCUCCAAAUUAAUAACG
rnacentral:rRNA from 1 species